CAACGGAUCAUAAAACCGCGGAAAGGCCUGUAAAAGGAAGGAGCAAGGAAGCAUCCAUGUGGGCCGCGCGGACUCAGGAAUUGUUCCCGAGUGAUAAAGUGUCCAUUAGAGAGGGAGCCCUCAUCCCACCGCCCACCAGCUUUGCGUUGUAUCAGCUGCCCUAGGAGAUCCCUCUCAUCUGAACUUGUAAGGCUGUGGAUUAAAUCUCCGGAUUCCCAGAGCCAAGACUGGAAAUUGUCAUAUUGAAAUGGCAUUAAUAAAUGACAUUGACAGUAAAUAGUA